UAAAUUCUAUGUUUGCAUUCC
rnacentral:piRNA from 1 species